rnacentral:rRNA from 1 species
UACGUAGGGGGCAAGCGUUGUCCGGAUUUAUUGGGCGUAAAGAGCGUGUAGGCGGCUUUACAGGUCCGUUGUGAAAACUCGAGGCUCAACCUCGAGACGCCGGUGGAAACCGUAAAGCUAGAGUCCGGAAGAGGAGAGUGGAAUUCCUGGUGUAGCGGUGAAAUGCGCAGAUAUCAGGAGGAACACCAAUGGCGAAGGCAGCUCACUGGGACGGUAUUGACGCUGAGACGCGAAAGCGUGGGGAGCAAACAGG